AGUGAACGCUGGCGGUAGGCCUAACACAUGCAAGUCGAACGGCAGCACAGUAAGAGCUUGCUCUUACGGGUGGCGAGUGGCGGACGGGUGAGGAAUACAUCGGAAUCUACUUUUUCGUGGGGGAUAACGUAGGGAAACUUACGCUAAUACCGCAUACGACCUACGGGUGAAAGCAGGGGUUCUUCGGACCUUGCGCGAUUGAAUGAGCUGAUGUCGGAUUAGCUAGUUGGCGGGGUAAAGGCCCACCAAGGCGACGAUCCGUAGCUGGUCUGAGAGGAUGAUCAGCCACACUGGAACUGAGACACGGUCCAGACUCCUACGGGAGGCAGCAGUAGGGAAUAUUGGACAAUGGGCGCAAGCCUGAUCCAGCCAUACCGCGUGAGUGAAGAAGGCCUUCGGGUUGUAAAGCCCUUUUGUUGGGAAAGAAAAGCAGCAGGUUAAUACCCCGCUGUUCUGACGGUACCCAAAGAAUAAGCACCGGCUAACUUCGUG
rnacentral:rRNA from 1 species